rnacentral:lncRNA from 1 species
CGCUAGGGAGGGCAGGGGUGAAGAUUUGUUGCCACUUCAUAGCCAUUUCCCCCAAGAAAAAGCUCUGCAGCAGCUCCUUGAUUGGUCCGGAGGUGGGCGGUCUGAGCCCCAGGAAGAUGUUUGGACCUUGUAAAUCUAGGGCUGCCCCAGCUUAAGAUCCCUUGCUGGUAGCUACAUGGUUUCCGGAUACAAGGAACUGGGCCUGGGUGGUUGGUUUAUUUCCAUCCUGUUUGCCAACAGGGAAAUUAAAACCAUUGGGAGGACAGAACACUUGAAUUUGAAAGAUCACAGAAUCUGCAGCCCCAGGAGCUGUAAGAGGCGGGGCAAGUGACUGUACUCUCUGAAUCCCAAUUGCCCCAUUUGUAGAAACAGUUGUAACAAAAGAACCUAUCUGCUCUCCUUGGUGCUUCUCUCACCUCAACACUAUGUUCUUGUAGCCCCGUUCUCUUCCUGCCCUCACUGUGCAUCUCAGCACCUGGCUCCUGUUGGGCAGGAAUGGCCACACCGCUACUCAUACUUGUUUCGGGAUCAUCUCACUCCUCAGGGUCCCUCCUCUUUGUACCCCUCCCCUGCCUCCAACUUGAUGCCCUGGCUGCUUGGGCUGUGUGACAGAGACGUUCCUGGGGAGGCAGUCAGCUGGACGUCUGAGGGACAGAGCUGCUUCACACAGACACACUUCACAAAUAGACAUGUCCUGUGUGAUAAGGCUAUGAUGCAUCGUGCCAUGGGAGCAUGUGGGGCAGAGCAGCUGGCUGUGCUUCCAGAAUCAGGGCAGUCUUUACCAGAAGGUGAUGUUUGGGCAAUCUUAAAGGAUUUAGCUAGGUAGAUAGCGGGAAAAAGGGAAUUCAAGUCAAGGAAAAUAGUGUUCAUAAAAGCCUGAAAUUGCCUUAUGUUCUUAGAGAAAAUAUAAUGUAGUGUGAAUGGGGAAAAAAAGGGGAGUAUGUUAUUUGGGUUGAGGUUCAUGAGUAGCAGAGAGAAGAAGUGAGGCCAGAAGCUAAACAGCACCUACUCAUGCGGGCCUUGAAGCAUGGGGGAGCUUAUGAAAGGGCAGGACAUUCACAUAUAUACAUAAGGAAAGUGCGACAAAUGGUUGCGAAGGAAUGGGUUGUCUCGUUUGUCCUGUAGCAGUUCUGUGAGGCAGACAGGGUGACGCCGUUAUCUACUGGUUACACCUGAGAGAGAACACUGAGGCCCGAGCACUUAUCUUGCCAAGGGUCUCAGAGCCAUAAAGCAGAGGGCCUAGGACUCACCUGGCUUCCUGGCUCUGAACCUCUUUCUCCUGGGCAUGCUGCCAUUGUUAACAG